rnacentral:rRNA from 1 species
CAAUAGCGUAUAUUAAAGUUGUUGCAGUUAAAAAGCUCGUAGUUGAAUUUUUGCUUGCCGCCGAUGUCGGAACUUCCGUACGUUCGGCGGCGUGCAUCCUUGGGUGGGACCUGUGUGGCAUUAGGUUGUCGUGCAGGGGAUGCUCAUCGUUUACUGUGAAAAAAUUAGAGUGUUCAAAGCAGGCUUACGCCGUUGAAUAUAUUAGCAUGGAAUAAUAAGAUAGGACCUUGGUACUAUUUUGUUGGUUUGCGCACCGAGGUAAUGAUUAACAGGGACAGUUGGGGGUAUUCGUAUUCCAUUGUCAGAGGUGAAAUUCUUGGAUUUCUGGAAGACGAACUACUGCGAAAGCAUUUACCAAGGAUGUUUUCAUUAA